UACAAAGAACUCCAUAUUCCAUAUUUCUUUGAUUAGUAUUCUGCAAAAAUAACAGUGAAAUUCUCGACUUAUCAUGAAAAUACCUUCAAUCGUAAAUGUGCAAUGGUUAGCCAAAGCUAUGUUAAAGACGAAACCUUUGAAACAAUUGAGAAUUAUUGACGGAACUUGGCGUUUAAAGGAGAACGGCUCUGUUCAAGCCCAACAAGAUUUCUUA
rnacentral:lncRNA from 1 species